UAUUCAACAAGCCCUGUUGAAUGUCUGCUCUGGGCCUAGUCCAGAGAUACAAACGGGGAAGGUGUGGAACCCCCUCCAGAAGUUCAGGAUCUAGAGAGAGAAAGAAGCCUUCCUCGGCAGCGCAAGGGUCCACAGGAGUGCAAACACCAAAGGAGAGCUUUCAUGAAAAGUAUCAAUCUAAGCAGGUCAUCUGAAGAAGAGCAUGGCAACCCACUCCGAUAUUCUUGCCUGGAGAAUCCCAUGGACAAAGGAGACUAGAGGGCUACAGUCCAUGAGUUUGUGAAGAGUCAGACACAACUGAGCGACAGCACUAGCAAGAAGCAGAUCAUAGCAAUGGGAAAUUCCUCUAUGGGAAUUUAAACACUCCAAAUAAAAAUAUGUAUUUGUAGUA